AACGAACGCUGGCGGCAGGCUUAACACAUGCAAGUCGAGCGCCUCGCAAGAGGAGCGGCAGACGGGUGAGUAACGCGUGGGAACGUACCCUUAUCUUCGGAAUAGCUCUGGGAAACUGGAAGUAAUACCGAAUGUGCCCUUAGGGGGAAAGAUUUAUCGGAUAAGGAUCGGCCCGCGUUGGAUUAGCUAGUUGGUGGGGUAAAGGCCUACCAAGGCGACGAUCCAUAGCUGGUCUGAGAGGAUGAUCAGCCACAUUGGGACUGAGACACGGCCCAAACUCCUACGCGAGGCAGCAGUGGGGAAUAUUGGACAAUGGGCGCAAGCCUGAUCCAGCCAUGCCGCGUGAGUGAUGAAGGCCUUAGGGUUGUAAAGCUCUUUCACCGGAGAAGAUAAUGACGGUAUCCGGAGAAGAAGCCCCGGCUAGCUUCGUG
rnacentral:rRNA from 1 species